GACGAGCGCUGGCGGCGUGCCUAACACAUGCAAGUCGAGCGAUGAAGUUUCCUUCGGGCAACGGAUUAGCGGCGGACGGGUGAGUAACACGUGGGUAACCUGCCUCAUAGAGGGGAAUAGCCUCCCGACAGGGAGAUUAAUACCGCAUAAUAUUACAGCUUUGCUUGAAACAGAAAUUAAAGGAGCAAUCCGCUAUGAGAUGGACCCGCGGCGCAUUAGCUAGUUGGUGAGGUAAAGGCUCACCAAGGCGACGAAGCGUAGCCGACCUGAGAGGGCGCUCAGCCACAUUGAGACUGAGGCACGGGCCAGACUCUUACCGGAGGCAGCAUUGGGGAAUAUUGCAAAAUGUGGGAAACUCCGAUGGAGCAACGCCGCGUGAUUGAUGACGGUCUUCGGAUUGUAAAGCUCUGUCUUUGGUGACGAUUAUGACGGUACCCAAGGAGCAAGCCACGGCUAACUACGUGCCAGCCGCCGCCGUAACAC
rnacentral:rRNA from 1 species